rnacentral:rRNA from 1 species
ACUACAUGAAGCUGGAAUCGCUAGUAAUCGCGAAUCAGAAUGUCGCGGUGAAUACGUUCCCGGGUCUUGUACACACCGCCCGUCACACCAUGGGAGUCGGAAAUGCCCAAAGUCAGUGACCUAACCGAAAGGGAGCAGCUGCCGAAGGUGGAGCCGGUAACUGGGGUGAAGUCGUAACAAGGUAGC